rnacentral:rRNA from 1 species
UACGUAGGGGGCAAGCGUUAUCCGGAUUUACUGGGCGUAAAGGGAGCGCAGGCGGUUUGUCAAGUCUGAUGUGAAAGCCCAGGGCUCAACCCUGGGACUGCAUUGGAAACUGUCAGACUAGAGUGCCGGAGAGGUAAGUGGAAUUCCUAGUGUAGCGGUGAAAUGCGUAGAUAUUAGGAGGAACACCAGUGGCGAAGGCGGCUUACUGGACGAUAACUGACGCUGAGGCUCGAAAGCGUGGGGAGCAAACAGG